GUGGGGAAUAUUCCGCAAUGGACGAAAGUCUGACGGAGCAACGCCGCGUGAGUGAUGAAGGUUUUCGGACUGUAAAGCUCUGUUGUUUAGGACGAAAGUGCCUGUUGCAAACAGUUACAGGUAUUGACGGUACUAAACGAGGAAGCCACGGCUAACUACGUGCCAGCAGCCGCGGUAAUACGUAGGUGGCAAGCGUUGUCCGGAAUUAUUGGGCGUAAAGAGCAUGUAGGCGGGAAUCUAAGUCUGUUGUGAAAAUGCGGUGCUCAACCCCGUAUUGCGAUGGAAACUGGGUUUCUUGAGUGCAGGAGAGGCAAGGGUAAUUCCCAGUGUAGCGGUGAAAUGCUUAGAUAUUGGGAGGUACAGCAGUGGCGAAGGCGCCUUUCUGGACUGUGUCUGACGCUGAGAUGCGAAAGCCAGGGUAGCGAACGGGAUUAGAUACCCCAGUAGUCC
rnacentral:rRNA from 1 species